GGGAAUUAAACGUUAUAUAAA
rnacentral:piRNA from 1 species